rnacentral:rRNA from 1 species
GAUGAACGCUAGCUACAGGCUUAACACAUGCAAGUCGAGGGGCAGCAUGGAGUUUGCUUGCAAACUUUGAUGGCGACCGGCGCACGGGUGAGUAACGCGUAUCCAACCUGCCCCGUACUCGGGUAUAGCCCAGCGAAAGCUGGAUUAAUCCCCGAUGUCACCUUUAUGGUGCAUGCCAUAUUGUUUAAAGUUAUUCGGUACGGGAUGGGGAUGCGUCUGAUUAGGUAGUAGGCGGGGUAACGGCCCACCUAGCCGACGAUCAGUAGGGGUUCUGAGAGGAAGGUCCCCCACACUGGAACUGAGACACGGACCAGACUCCUACGGGAGGCAGCAGUGAGGAAUAUUGGUCAAUGGGCGAGAGCCUGAGACAGCCAAGUAGCGGGCAGGAUGACGGCCCUACGGGUUGUAAACUGCUUUUAUGCGGGAAUAAAGAUAUCUACGUGUAGAUAGUUGCAUGUACCGCAUGAAUAAGGACCGGCUAAUUCCGUGCCAGCAGCCGCAGUAAUAC